rnacentral:rRNA from 1 species
GGUCGGGUGAGUAACGCGUGAGCAAUCUGCCGAGAAGUGGGGGAUAGCUCGCCGAAAGGGAAUUUAAUACCGCAUGUGGCCAGAGGGGACAUCCUUUCAAAGCCAAAGUCGCAAGACGCUUCAUGAUGAGCUCGCGGCAUAUCAGCUUGUUGGUGAGGUAACGGCUCACCAAGGCUAUGACGGGUAGCUGGUCUGAGAGGACGACCAGCCACACUGGAACUGAGACACGGUCCAGACACCUACGGGUGGCAGCAGUCGAGAAUUUUUCACAAUGGGGGAAACCCUGAUGGAGCGACGCCGCGUGGAGGAUGAAGGUCUUCGGAUUGUGAACUCCUGUCAUGCGAGAACAAGAAAGUGAUAGUAUCGCAAGAGGAAGAGACGGCUAACUCUGUGCCAGCAGCCGCGGUAAUACAGAGGUCUCAAGCGUUGUUCGGAUUCAUUGGGCGUAAAGGGUGCGUAGGCGGCGUGGUAAGUUGAGUGUGAAAUCCUAGGGCUUAACCUUAGAACUGCACUCAAUACUGCCAUGCUAGAGGAAUGUAGAGGAGAGUGGAAUUCACGGUGUAGCAGUGAAAUGCGUAGAUAUCGUGAGGAAGACCAGUUGCGAAGGCGACUCUCUGGGCAUUUCCUGACGCUGAGGCACGAAGGCCAGGGGAGCAAAUGGGAUUAGAUACCCCAGUAGUC